rnacentral:rRNA from 1 species
AGUGAACGCUGGCGGUAGGCCUAACACAUGCAAGUCGAACGGCAGCACAGUAAGAGCUUGCUCUUACGGGUGGCGAGUGGCGGACGGGUGAGGAAUACAUCGGAAUCUACUUUUUCGUGGGGGAUAACGUAGGGGAACUUACGCUAAUACCGCAUACGACCUACGGGUGAAAGCAGGGGAUCUUCGGACCUUGCGCGAUUGAAUGAGCCGAUGUCGGAUUAGCUAGUUGGCGGGGUAAAGGCCCACCAAGGCGACGAUCCGUAGCCGGUCUGAGAGGAUGAUCAGCCACACUGGAACUGAGACACGGUCCAGACUCCUACGGGAGGCAGCAGUGGGGAAUAUUGGACAACAGGCGCAAGCCUGAUCCAGCCAUACCGCGUGGGUGAAGAAGGCCUUCGGGUUGUAAAGCCCUUUUGUUGGGAAAGAAAAGCAGCAGGUUAAUACCCCGCUGUUCUGACGGUACCCAAAGAAUAAGCACCGGCUAACUUCGUG